rnacentral:piRNA from 1 species
UUGACUGCCCACUUGCUGAGUUUAGAGUCA